ensembl:snRNA U6 U6 spliceosomal RNA
GUUUGUUUUGGCAGGACAUACACUAAAACUGCAACCAUCAGAGAAAAUGAUCAUGGCCCUGUGCAAGGUUGGCAAUCAACUUUGUGACACAUUCUAUAUUUUU